GACCUGCCUUUGUUGCCCAGGUAAAUCAGGGACUGGCCAAGAUAUUAGAGAUUGAUUAGAAGUUACAUUGUGCAUACAAGCUCCAAAGCUCAGGACAGGUAGAAAAGAUGAAUAGAAUUCUAAAAGAGACUGGUGUAGACUUGGUGCUCCUUCCCCAUGCCCAUCACUGUCUUAAAUGAUGUGCUUAAACCUACAUGUUGUUGUAAUAAUAAUCUGUAUGCUAAGUUAAAAGGCUUGCAGGUGGUGCAGAAAAAAGUCUGGUCACAACUGGCUACAGCGAAUGAGCCGGGUACCCCAAAGACAUCUCACCAGUUCCAGCCAGAGAUCUGAUCUACAUACACCUACAUCAUGCCCAGACCCUCAAGCCUCACUAGAAGGGCCCUGCCUAGUUCUGUUUACUAUCCCUUCUUAUUCUGUUUUUGUUUUUAACCUUUGGCCCAUGUUAUGAUAUCUAUUCUCCACGUAGACAUAUAGACUUCUAAAAUUCUUAGAUUAGAAUUACUUAGUACAAGAAGAGGGGAAUGAAAGAAAAUAAAACUUGAGACCUGUGAUUCAUGUAAUUUAUGUCAAAUAGCCCAAAGAGUUGUUUGUGAGCUUUGAAACCUAGGGCUGAGAACAUAGCAGAACAUGCCCGGGCAGGCCCGUCGUUAAGACAUUCCUGAGGCUGCUUGGCCAUACCUGUCUGGGCUGGCCCCGCGCCUCCCUAUCUCCCCCCCUUCUGACCUAAGUUAAGUACAGUCUGCUGGUGUUUAAAUGGACCAAUCAUGUGAAACCGCGCCAAUUCCUCCCCCAGCCCCAGCCCCUUUUCUUUAAAAACCCCUAGUUUCCAAGCCUUGUGGUCGAAACCACUGUCUCCUGUGUGAGAUACAUUUCGACCCAGAGCUCCGCCAUUAAACUACCUCAUGUUUUUACAUCAAGGCAUUCUGUUCUGUUCGUGAUUCUUGGGUGCACACCGAAUUGGGAAUUGAGUGGGGUUUCCCCACUAGGUUCUUUUAACUGUCAUGCAUCUAAACUGAAAACAAAAGUCCCACCUACACUACUACAGCUGAAGCUAUUUACUUUAAAACAACAAAAUCAUUAGUUUCAAAACUAUAACUAUCCUGCUCCAUCAGUUUAGCAGGCACUGUGGGCGUCUCCCACACUUGGCCAACCAUGUUGCGUAACUUACUCUUUGGUUUUUAACACUGACACUGCUAUUAAGAACAGAGCCAAAAAGGCAUUUCAAAGACAAAUUAUUUCAGCUUCAGAACCCAGACUUUUAGAGAAUGUACACAUGCAUAUAUUCUGACAGGGUAUUGUAACUCAAAUUAAGAUAAAUCAAAUUUGAGAAAUAAGACAUGCUCUUCCCUUGCUGGUGGUAGUACAUUCUGCCAGCCACCCUCCUCCCUCCCUCUGUGGUACCUUCAGUUCUGACACUGUCCCCUUCUCAGUGAAUCUGAGCAGCAGCACCAGGGAGAAUGUGAGCAGCUGGCCUGCGGCCUCUUCUGGAAAUUCACAUAUGUUGAUCUCCCCAUGGCUUAAAUGAUCCCGGAUACGAGGACCCUCCUGAUAGUUCAGGAAAUCCCACAAGAAUUCCUUUUAGAAUUGACAGAGAAACAUUCUGUCAGUGUUCUGGGCAGAUGAAGAGUGAAUGGCAGGGUUUUCUGGCAGUUCUUGGCUUGCUUAUAAACUGAUGGGAAAUGCAAGUCUCAAAGAGGGCACUCACCCCAUCCUGCAGCUGGAACUGUAGUGGGGAGCCCUUGUUCAGUACAGCCUGCCUGUGGGGGGUGGAGGGAAGGGAGCACCAACCACCAAGGGAAGGGAAACAAACUUCCCUAAAGAAGCCUAAGUCACUGCUCUUGCUGGGAGGAGCAUAACCAAGCAGCUGUCCCUUGGCCACUGCUUCCCCUGCAUUCACCAUGGACUACUCCUGCAUCUUAAGCCAGCAAAUAUGGCUGCUCCCUCUUCUAACACUACAUGGCCCAAGCCUGCCUCUGCCAGACUAUGGGGGCGGGGUGGGGGUGGGGAGUCAGAAAAGCACUCAUGUGGACUGACUGCCAACAGAGGAAGAGUCCAGGGUGUUGUGGAUAGCACUGGAGCUAAUUAUAUUUGAUGUUAAUUCUGCUCUAAGAGUGACUUCGAACAAGGAAUGAGUCAGCACUCAGGUGAUUUCCUGUAAAGCUGCUCCCCACCUUAAUUUGUAAAAUAAAGGAGAGCUGAUGAUUGGGCAAAUAAAGGGAAGGUGGAGGGGAAAGGGGUGGUGGGGAGAAGGAGAUUUGAGAGAGGCAACUCAGGGGAGGAGGAGGAAGAAGAAGAAAAAAAGCAGAGCAGAAGCACAUAGCCUGGAGAAAUGGCAAGUUCUAAGGGGUCUCAUAAGAUGUGGAAGAUGGUAGUGUAGUGGUAGAUCUGCCCAAUCUAGGCGCACAGCAUGUAUUCAUAUUAAUUGUGUUGUUGUGUUUUCAUUGCCGGGGCAUAUUUGCGAUGGAGACUUAGCACAACACCAGGGGAUUCAGGAUC
rnacentral:lncRNA from 1 species